GUAUGUCUGCCGGACUGAUUGCCUGUGUGUGUAUUGCAUGUGUUGCUGUGGGAGCAGCGUUAGUGGGGCUUGUUAUAGUCUGGAGGUCUCGCACGAAAAAAGAAGAAAUGAAGAAAUACCCAAUUCAAGUGGAGGUUCGAACACCCUAUCCUGGGCCUGGACCAGAACAGCAGGCACUGGUAUGAAUUUGGUGUGUGGUGCUUUAACAAGAACGAAUAGCCAGCACAAUUAUGGCAAACGUCAAAUUGAAAGAGGAGGAUCAUCUUAAAGAAAGAUCCUCCACCUAAUAUUUAUUGUAAAAAUGUUUUAUUAAAUUCUUAAUUUGGUGACUUUUGUAUAUAAACAUUCCUGUACAAUUUAUUAAGUAUUUUCUUUAAAUAAAUCAAAUCAAAUAGA